CUAGGCUGAGAGCGUGUAAGCUUGCUGAGGUCAUUAUCUGCUGAGCUCUUGGUGACACUGGUUUGCAGCUGGUAAGAGCAUCACUCUGGAACAUUUGUGAGAAAGAAGGACAAGGUCUUCAGGUUUCAAUGUGUACAUGUGGGAAGCUGAAGAGGUCAGAGAAAGUAAGGGGUGAAAUUGAGCACCAUUGUCAUGCAGAGGAUGUUGAAAACAUGGACAAUCUGAAUCCUGCUGCUCUGUUCCUGUACCAUGUGCAUCAGAGAACAGCUUGUGUGUUCAAUAGAGGGAUGUAAACAACAGCUGAACUCAAACCUUCUGCUGGAGUGUGUCGUCACACACAUUUGAGGGCUCCCAGUCCUGAUGCGAGACCUUCCCCGAAUGCACGUGUCCAGAACCCGACCAUGCGUAGCAAAUCAAACCCUCAUCUGGACUCAGGCACCACUGGGGCCAACAAUUGUUGUUGGGUCUUAUUUUGGUCACUGUGAGCUCCAUGCAGGAAGUAUGUAGUACAGGGCCAGAAAGAAGAUUGUACCUUGGCUCUAGUCCUGCAUGGAUUCAUCCUGUUUAUGCACAAAGACAAAUCUCACUGGCUCUAUUCCAACACCUAGCGAGCUGCCUUGCUGUCCACUGCCUACAUAUGCAACAUCCUGACUCAAAUGGAGCCUCAUAAGUGAAGGAUUUAGAACUGUGUAACACAACAGCCUUGACUCACUUGACUUGAUUUCAGUAGUUUUGCAUUUGCAUGUUGCUAUGUUAAAUCAUUUUUAAGACAACUAUUUUUUCCCCAACUUUUCAGUUUAAUUAUAGCUCAUACACGUAGUUGAAGCAUAGACUUUUAAAUACACUCAAUUUGAUAGCAUGCAUGAACAAAAGCGCUCAACUCAUGAGCACUAGAAAGUUUUAUAUUAGUUCAAUUUGCGCUAUUUCCCUCUAUAAGUAAUGAUCAAUUAAAAAUUCUUCAUACAUGUUUAAACUAAAGUCGUGAAUAUCUUUUAACUCCCUUACAUUAACGCUUGUUAACAUGUAUGUCUAUUGUUGUUGCGUCUCCUUACUGGACACUUAUAUUUUUGAAUGUUGUAUAAAGCGCGUAUUUAACUAUAUAUAAUGCUAUAGGGCGAUAUAAACAUAAAUACAAUAUUAUAUCUCUUACAAAAAUUAACCAUGUUUUUUGUAUUUUUAUAUAUUUUUGUUAUUAUUAUUAUUAUUAUUGUUAUUUUUUUUAUUUUUUAUUUUUAAAUUUU
ensembl:lncRNA